rnacentral:lncRNA from 1 species
UGGUUUUUAAUUGGGAGCAGCUUAUCUGACCAUUUGGAUGGUGUCUAAGACAAGCUUAGCAGACCCUCCCACCAAUCUCACUUACCUAGCCAAUUUGAUAAAUUAUGUCUUGAUUAGACUGCUAAGUGAUUCAAGUUGAUCCAUACCAUUAAGGUUGAUCAGUGUGACUGAUCUUGGUGUCAGUUCAACCAGCAUGACCUUAAUCCAAUUCAAUGACUUGGUGAAGUC